GAUGAACGCUGGCGGCGCGCCUAACACAUGCAAGUCGAACGAUUAAAGCACCUUCGGGUGUGUAUAAAGUGGCGAACGGCUGAGUAACACGUGGGCAACCUGCCCCUUUCAUUGGGAUAGCCACGGGAAACCGUGGAUAAUACCGAAUACUUCGAGACUUCCGCAUGGAAGACUCGAGAAAGCUCCGGCGGAGGGGGAUGGGCCCGCGGCCUGUUAGCUUGUUGGUGGGGUAACGGCCUACCAAGGCAAUGAUGGGUAGCUGGGUUGAGAGGCCGACCAGCCAGAUUGGGACUGAGACACGGCCCAGACUCCUACGGGAGGCAGCAGUGGGGAAUCUUGCACAAUGGGCGAAAGCCUGAUGCAGCGACGCCGCGUGCGGGAUGAAGGCCUUCGGGUUGUAAACCGCUUUCAGCAGGGACGAGGCGAAAGUGACGGUACCUGCAGAAGAAGCCCCGGCUAACUACGUG
rnacentral:rRNA from 1 species